rnacentral:lncRNA from 1 species
GGGAAGCACAUGACAUCAGCACCGCUUUCCUAUCAGGGAUGCCAGCCCCCACGCAGAGGAGCUCGGCGAAUUUGCAGGGAAGGAGCACGUUUCGUGACUUGACAGUUGAGUUUUCACCUGCUGAGCUCACUCCUGAAACUAGCUCCCAGAUCAAGGAGCAGAACCUCCCGGUGCCCUGGAAGCCCUGGCCCCCUUCAAAGCCUGCCGAGGGUGACACCCUGCACUCUGACAGCAGGAGCACUGAGACAAAUGGAGGAUACUCUAGAAGCGGUCCCUCCGCCCAGGUCCAAGCAGAGGAGCCAAUGACUCGGUUUCCUGUGAGCUCACUUUGGCGUGGCCCAGAGGACAAAGGCAUCUGGAGGGCCUUUCCCGAGGUGCUGGCUGCUGGUGGCUUCUGUUGAUCGGGGCCUCCUGGCCCCACCAGCUUACGCUGGGCUCCUUCAGGGCCGCCUUUCUCGGACAGCGUGGAGUCCUGCAGGCAACUGGUGGCAACUGCUAGUGGCCAUGUGUUUCCACACAUUUUCUGGAAAAUUACCAAGUAUUAAAAAUUGGAUCUGAACAUAUGUAUGUGAUUGGGAAUUCCAGCAGAAUUCAGGAGGAUACGAUGAAAUUCGUUCCCCUCCUCCUCCGGAACCGCAGGCUUCCUCUCAGAGGCUCCCAUGGGGAAGACUUCCCAGCUUUCUCUUCAAGUAUAAACAUACCCAUAUAUGUGCACUCCUGUGCUCGCACUUUGUCACUUAGAAAUAUGUCUUGGAGAUUGUCCCUUAUCGGCCCCGACAGCUCUGGCACUUUUUUCAAGCCAGCAUUCAAUGAUCUAGUCAUAGCACAUUCCUUUAACCAGAC